rnacentral:tRNA from 1 species
CUCUCCCCCCAAUUUCCACGUCUUUAUAACCGGCUCAGGGCAUUAUUAGCACAUGUCCUGGCUCGUGGGCGAGUUGGUGGCAAAAUCUGAACUGGAUACUCACCCAAGGGCCAGAGCGGGUGCUGCGCCUUCUUCAGCCCUUUUAUCCCCCUCGCCAGAAACUAUCCCUCGCCGGCUGUCUGUGGGCGGGCAGCCGGGCGGAGCGAGCCUCCUCUCGGCAGCUCAGCGGUGCCCCUUCUGCAGCUAUGCCGCUGGGACCAUUUUAUAGCGGCGGCUGGCGUGUGUGGCCCUUUAAAGGCGCUCGAGCUGGUGCAGUCACAGCGGAUCGUGUGAAAGCGAAGGGCCGGCUGGGGAACGGAGUCCGAGCGGCCCCGUGGGUCCGCCGGCGCCGGGGACCGGUCACGGCUCCCGGGGUGCAGCUGGCGGGCCCAGGCGUGGUCGCCCCGAGCCCCGAGCCCCCGGCCGACGCCUGCGUUUCUAAAGCAGGAAGGGGCCCGGGCCCCGGGCACAAUCUCUCCCCACCGCCCUGCAUGGACUUGCCCAAUAAAUUCCACUUAGUAAUUUCACUGAGGCGAGGGAGAGCUUACCCCAAAGUGCCCUGCAUUUGCUCUUUGAACAAAGUUCUGUUUGUUGAUGGACUGACCGGCUUACUGACGUAAAGAUGGGGAGCAAACAGAGGGACAGAUCAAGGCCCUUCUUUCGCGCUUGGAGGAAGCUGGGGCGAGUGCUCUGGACGCCAGGUAAACUCAUUCCCCAGCCCCCAAAGCUACCUUGCCUGUCUCCCUUCCCCUUACCCUGAGUCAACUCAAACCCCAGUAACAACCGCAUCCCACAAACCAUCUUCUCACUUUCUCGCGUUGCACAAAGAUCUUAGGUCGCGCCCAGCUUCCUUCUGAUAAAAGGCGGCAUCUGUCGGGACCCUAAAACCCUAUGAAGUUUGCUUGUGAAAUACACCCUCAAGCUAUCUUGGUAUUUGCCUGACGUAAGCGACCCCGGGCUUUCGAAUUGUGUUUUGCUAAUUUGGACCUCUGACCUACCCUUCACCUCAGCUCCUGCUCGGGAGCGAGUCUGGAAACCGCGGCAGCGUCUUCGCGGCAGGCUCCGGAUCCGGGAGGUUCUGGAUCCGCCCUCCAUCUAUUGGAUGGCUCCCAGGUCAAUUGUUAGAAAGAGGCAUAUGUUCAUCUCGGCUUCUGGAGUGUCUCCGGAGCAGUUGCUCAACAGCCAGCCCCCUCCCCCAUCCGGACCAUUGAAGGGCAGAAAAAGGAGCGCCCUCCGCCACGUUUCUCUACGCCUACAUGCCAGAAAGGGUCUCCCCACUGGUGACUUCCUGUCAUCUCUGCUGUCUACCUCCUGGGGAGCAGGAUAGAGAAGAGUUUCGAGCACUCAGCUUUGGAGCACAAAAGCCACCCCUUUCCUUUGGGGGUAGCUGGAAGGGGAGGUUAGUUGCAGAGGCCGGGAGAGAGCAAAGGAGACAUUUGCAUUUCUCUGCAAAUAUGCCCUGGAUCACUGACUUCCCAGUCGUCUCCAGCCGAGCUCAGAGCUCUCCGCUGAACUCUUAUCUUCAACUUGGCAACUAGACUGCGAGCUCGCAUGCGGAGGAGAGGACAGGGAUAAUCACCCAGCAAGAACUUUCUGUGCGCCAGCAUUGGACCUGGCCUGUUCCCAUCCAUUAUCUCAUUUAAUUCCCACGCCCUGUGAGGUAGGGUUUACCAAAGGUGAGAAGGAGUCUCAGAGAUUUGCCCAAGUUCACACAGCCAGGAGGCCAGGCAUUUGAAUCCAGGUUAAGCUAACUGCAGAAUCCUCACCUUCACCCUUGCGCCUUGCUGUUUGGCAAGGUAAAGGGACAUCUAAAAUGUGGUCAAGAGUACAGGUUCAGGGGCCAGUCCACCUGGGUUUAAAUCCCUGCUCUGCUAUUUACUAACUCUGUAAUGAAGACCAAUAGCUUCAUUCUUUUUUUUUAAAAUUUUUUCCAUUUAUUUUUAUUAGUUGGAGGCUAAUUACUUUACAAGCUUCAUUCUUCAGGCCUCAGUUUUCCUCAUCUGUUAAAUGGGGAUUAUAAUGGUAGCAACUAUGACGGCUCAGAGAAGGCAGUGGCACCCCACUCCAGUACUCUUGCCUGGAAAAUCCCAUGGACGGAGGAGCCUGGUAGGCUGCAGUCCAUGGGCUCGCUAAGAGUCAGACACGACUGAGCAACUUCAUUUUCACUUUUCACUUUCAUGCAUUGGAAAAGGAAAUGGCAACCCACUCCAGUGUUCUUGCCUGGAGAAUCCCAGGGACAGGGGAGCCUGGUGGGCUGCCGUCUAUGGGGUCGCACAGUCGGACACGACUGAAGUGACUUAGCAGCAGCAGCAGUAUGAGGGCUGUUGCAAGGAUCAACGGAAAAGCUUAAGUUGAUGCCUGCUAUGUAGUAAGUUGUCCACAAAUGCUGUACCUUCUGAUUCUUUUCCUUUUGCCUCCUUGUCCUGCCACAUCUUACAUACUUCAGGUCUCCUAGUCCUGCCUCAGUUUACAUACUUCAGGUCCAAUAAUACUUGAUGACUGAUUAAUUUAAAAACCAGGCUGUGAGGGGAUGAAGGAGGUCUAUAAACACAGGCAGGGAAGAAGAGGAAAAUGCAGAUUUGUCUUCAGAAUCCCAUUUUCCAGAACCAAGGGCUAUCUGAGCCUUAUGACAGGAGUAAAUUGAGGACCAAUAAAAGAUGAUGACUUUUUACAGGACAGUCGGUAUGCAUAGAGUGGUCUCUAGAAACAUAUAUUCAAUAAGUGUGUAGAAAAGUUAAAAAGCACAUGUUACCAUGUAGCUUGCAGGAUCUCAGUUCCUCGACCAAGGAUGGAACCCGGGCCACAGCAGUGAAAGGCUGGACUCCUAACCACUAGGCAACCAGGGGACUCCCCAGAAAGCAAAAGUCUGUGUUCAAGAAUGUUUUGAGCAGAAUUGUUUGUGAUAAUGAAAAAUGGAAAGCAAUUUAAAUGUCCAUGGUGAGAAAGCAUCCUUCAGUACCUUAACACUAAAAAAAAAAUCCUGAUUUCAAAAACUUUUAUUCAUGGGAAAAUGUUCACAAAAAUAUUAAAUAAAAAAACACUGGGUACAAAGUUGCAUAAAUAUGAUGCCAAGUUGCAAAGGGCAUGAAGAGCAGAAAAUUAAAUAUUCACUAUGUUUCCAACCAUGUAUAAAUAUGGGCAAUGAAGCAAUGGUCAGGAAAACAACCAACAGUGUCAGUGGGGUGGUAGGAUUCUGAGCUAUUUUCCCCCCUCUUUUCUCUGUUCUGCAAUAUGUUUAUAUUAUUCUUAUAAUUAAAUAUAAGUUUAUAGUUAAUGGACUGCAUAAACAGUGUGCUUCUACUAUUGUUAAAAUUAUUUGUGCAUAGAAAAAAUAUUAGAAGAAAAUAUACCAAAAUGAGGACUUCCCUGGAGGUCCAGUGGUUAAGAUUCUGUGCUUCCAAUGCAGGGGACAUGGGUUUGAUCCCUGUCUGGGGACUAAAAUCCCAUGCACUGCAGGGCAAGGCCCCCCAAAAAGUAUCUAAAGGGAGAAAAAACUAGAAACAAAAACAAAAUACCAAAUUGUUAGCAGUGAUUAUAAUUGAAUGGUAGGAUUAUGCAUGAUAUUUUUAAAAUUUUUUUCUGCCAUAAGAUUAUAUUAUUUUCUCCCAUAACUUGAAAAUCUUCAUAAUUUUAAAAGUGCAUAAUCAGUACAAUCUCACUGGUGUUAAAAGUAUGGCUGUAAAUUGAAAAAAAUGGGAAGGAAAUAUAUUAAAAUAUUAAGUUUUUAUAUUAAGUGGUAAAGGAUUAUGGGUAAUUUCUCCUUUUUUCUUGAGUUUUCUGUAAUGUGAUUUUAUUGCUUUUAUAAUUAAAAUAAAAUAAAUAUGUACAAAUGGCAUAGGAUCCGAUUUUUGUUAAAAAUGUAUAUAUAUAUGUGUGUGUAUGUGCAGGUGCAUUAAGUAAUAAUAAAAUACUCCAAAAUGUGGUUGUCUCUGGGUGAUGGGAUUAUGGGUGAUUUAUGUUUUCUCUCUCUUUCUUUGAAAACUAUACUAUACUGAAGUAUAGUUAAUUUACAGUGUGUUGGUUUCAGGCACACUGUUUUCUCUUUUAUACAUGA